AGGUAGCUCAGUUGGUAGAGCAGCGGACUGAAAAUCCGCGUGUCGGUGGUUCGAUUCCGCCCCUGGCCACCA
rnacentral:tRNA from 1 species